rnacentral:rRNA from 1 species
AUGUGCUACAGAUUUAUAUGUAUACAAGAAGAUCGAUCUUGCCUCUUAUGCAGUCUGGUAGAUUUGGAAAGAAAGGAAUUGCAGAUUUUAUUUGGACAAAGAGAUAAAGCCACAAAGCAGGAUUCGAUUCGGUACAAGACCAUCACCGAUGCAGACAACAAGGGGUUCAUCGUGCCAGGCACCUCGGUGCUGCUUCCGUGCGACGGCGGCAGCGGCUACAGAAACAGCUACGGUGAGCUCCUCUCCUCGCCUCCAGUGGUUGCUCUGAGCUCAACAUGGCCAUCGUGCCAUGGCUAUGUCUGGUUAGGCUGCUACAGGUACGCCUUGCAUAAUGAUGGUGCUACUCUUUGUUUGUUUGUUCGUUUCUCUGCCUUGCUGCCUGCCUGA